rnacentral:rRNA from 1 species
GACGAACCGUCCAAACGUUAUUCGGAAUCACUGGGCUUAAAGGGUGCGUAGGUGGCGCGGAAAGUUGGGUGUGAAAUCCCUCGCUUAACCGAGGAACUGCGCCCAAAACUACCGUGCUUGAGGGAGAUAGAGGUGAGCGGAACUUUAGGGUGGAGCGGUGAAAUGCGUUGAUAUCCUAAGGAACACCGGUGGCGAAAGCGGCUCACUGGAUCUCUUCUGACGCUGAGGCACGAAAGCUAGGGUAGCGAACGGG